rnacentral:rRNA from 1 species
CCUACGGGUGGCAGCAGUGAGGAAUAUUGGUCAAUGGGCUUACGCCUGAACCAGCCAAGUCGCGUGAGGGAAGACUGCCCUAUGGGUUGUAAACCUCUUUUGUCAGGGAGCAACGCCGGCUACGUGUAGCCGGACUGAGAGUACCUGAAGAAAAAGCAUCGGCUAACUCCGUGCCAGCAGCCGCGGUAAUACGGGGGAUGCGAGCGUUAUCCGGAUUUAUUGGGUGUAAGGGGUGCGUAGGCGGAAUGCCAAGUCAGCGGUAAAAUCGCGGGGCUCAACCUCGCUCCGCCGUUGAAACUGGUGGUCUAGAGUGGGAGAGAAGUAUGCGGAAUGCGUGGUGUAGCGGUGAAAUGCAUAGAUAGCACGCAGAACUCCGAUUGCGAAGGCAGCAUACCGGCUCCAUACUGACGCUGAGGCACGAAAGCGUGGGGAUCGAACAGGAUUAGAUACCCUAGUAGUC